ensembl:lncRNA
GUGGACCCCAAUGAGCUGUGGGUGCACCCCUAUGGGCUGUGAGUGCACUCCUAUGGGCUGUGAGUGCACCCCAAUGGGCUGUGGGUGUUCCCCUAUUAGCUGUGAGUGCACCCCAAUGGGCUGUGGGUGGACCCCUAUUGGCUGUGAGUGCACCCCAAUGGGCUGUGGGUGUACCCCUAUUGGCUGUGAGUAUACCCCAAUGGGCUGUGAGUGCACCCCUAUUAGCUGUGGGUGUACCCCAGUGAGCUGUGAGUGCACCGCAAUGGGCUGUGGGUGUACCCCAAUAGGCUGUGGGUGUACCCCAGUGAGCUGUGAGUGCACCCCUAUGGGCUGUGAGUGAACCUCUAUUAGCUAUGGGGUGUACCCCUAUGGGCUGUGGGUGGACCCCUAUGGGCUGUGGGUGCACCCCUAUGGGCUGUGAGUGGACCCCUAUUGGCUGUGAGUGUACCCCAAUGGGCUGUGGGUGUACCCCAAUGGGCUGUGAGUGUACCCCAAUGAGCUGCGGGGUGUACCUCUAUUAGUGGGGUGUACCCCAAUGAGCUGCAGGCUGUACCCUGGUUAGUUGUCAGGGUGUACCCCAUUUAGCCGUGGGUUGCACCCCAGUUAGCUCCCCGUUGUACCCCAAUGAGCUGCAGGCUGUACCCGUUAGCUGUAAGGUGUACCCCAAUGAGCUGCGGGGUGUACUUUUAUUAGCUGUGGGGCGUACCCCAAUGAGCUGCGGGGUGUACCCCAAUGAGCCUCAGGGUGUACCCCAAUGAGCCUCAGGGUGUACCCCGGUGAGCUGUAGGAGUGUACCUCGGUUGGCUGUGGGGUACCCCA